CCCGGGUCUUGUACACACCGCCCGUCACACCAUGGAGCGGGAUGUACCAGAAGUAGGUAGGCUAACCGCAAGGGGGCCGCUUACCACGGUGCGUUUCGUGACUGGGGUG
rnacentral:rRNA from 1 species